CCCCCAUUUCCUGUGUGUGUCUGUCUGUGAUCCCACCUGCCCACCACCCCUACCCCAGGCAACCACGCACAUGAUUCCUGUCAGUUUGGACUGGUUUGCAAUUUCUAGAGUUUAUACAAAUAAAAUCACACAGUGUGCUGUCUUUUGAGGGGGACAUGCCAUUAUUUAUCCAUCUGCCUGUUGGUUUAUGUGUGGAUUGUUUCCAUUUUUGGCUACUACACAUAAAGCCUCGAUCAACAUUUCAGUACCGGUCUCUGUAUGGACAUGUUUCCUAUUUUUUUUUUUUUUGAGACCGAGUCUCGCUCUGUCACCCAGGCUAGGGUGAAGUAGCGAGAUCUCGGCUCACAGCAAGCUCCGUCUCCCAGCUACUUAGGAGGCUAAGGCAGGAGACUCACUUGAACCUGGGAGGCUGAGGCUGCACCGAGCUGAGAUUGCAUCAUUGUACUCCAGCCUGGGCAACAAGAACGAAACUCUGUAUGAAAAAAAUAUAGAUAUAAAUGACAUUCUUCACAGAAAUAGAAAAAUACAAUCCUGAAAUUUAUAUGGAACCAUAAAAGACCCAGAACAACCAAAGCUAUCUUGAACAAAAACAACAAAACUGGAGGAAUCACAUUAACUGACUUCAAAUCAGACUACAGAGCUAUAGUAACAAAAACAGCAUGGUACUAGCAUAAAAACAGACACACAGACCAAUGGAACAGAAUAGAGGAACUAGAAAUAAAUCCAUACAUCUACAGUAAACUCAUUUUUGACACAUGUGCCAAGAACAUAAAAUGGUGACAGGACAGUCUCUUCAAGACAUAGUGCUGGGAAAAAUGAAUAUCCACAUGCAGAAGAAUGAAACCAGAUCCCUAUCUAUUGCCAUAUAAAAAAAUCAAAUCAAAAUGGAUUAAAGACUUAAAUACAAAACCCCAAACCAUGAAACUACUAAAAGAUAAAUUGGGGAAACUCUCCAGGACAUUGAACUGGGCAAGGCUUUAUUAAUACCCUACAAGCAUAGGAAACCAAAGCAAAAAUGGACAGAUGGGGUCACAUCAAGUUAAACAGCUUCUGCAAAGCAAACUAUCAACAAAGUGAAGAGACAACCCACAGAAUGGGAUAAAAUAUGUGCAAACUACCCAUCUGACAAGGGAUUAGUAACCAGAAUAUAUAAGGAGCUUAAACAACUCUACAGAAAAAAAAAAUCUAGACUGGGCGCAGUGGCUCACGCCUGUAAUCCCAGCCCUUUGGGAGGCUGAGGCGGGCAGAUCACGAGGUCAGGAGAUCGAGACCAUCCUGGCUAACACGGUCAAACCCCGUCCCUACUAAAAAAUACAAAAAAUUAGCCGGGCGUGGUGGCGGCGCCUGUAGUCCCAGCUACUCGGGAGACUGAGGGAGAAGAAUCACUUGAACCCUGGAGGCAGAGGUUGUAGUGAGCCGAGGUCACACCACUGCACUCCAGCCUGGGUGACAGAGUGAGUCUGUGUCUCAAAAAAAAAAAAAAAAAAAAAA
rnacentral:lncRNA from 1 species